AUUGAACGCUGGCGGCAGGCCUAACACAUGCAAGUCGAACGGUAACAGGAAACAGCUUGCUGUUUCGCUGACGAGUGGCGGACGGGUGAGUAAUGUCUGGGAAACUGCCUGAUGGAGGGGGAUAACUACUGGAAACGGUAGCUAAUACCGCAUAACGUCGCAAGACCAAAGAGGGGGACCCUCGGGCCUCUUGCCAUCGGAUGUGCCCAGAUGGGAUUAGCUUGUUGGUGGGGUAACGGCUCACCAAGGCGACGAUCCCUAGCUGGUCUGAGAGGAUGACCGGCCACACUGGAACUGAGCCACGGUCCAGACUCCUACGGGAGGCAGCAGUGGGGAAUAUUGCACAAUGGGCGCAAGCCUGAUGCAGCCAUGCCGCGUGUAUGAAGAAGGCCUUCGGGUUGUAAAGUACUUUCAGCGGGGAGGAAGGGAGUAAAGUUAAUACCUUUGCUCAUUGACGUUACCCGCAGAAGAAGCACCGGCUAACUCCGUG
rnacentral:rRNA from 1 species